rnacentral:rRNA from 1 species
GACGAACGCUGGCGGCGUGCUUAACACAUGCAAGUCGAACGAAGUGGCGAACGGGUGAGUAACGCGUAAACAACCUGCCCUUCAGCGGGGGACAACAGUUGGAAACGACUGCAAAUACCGCAUACUGAAGGAGGGGAGUGCGUCUGAUUAGCUAGUUGGAGGGGUAACGGCCCACCAAGGCGAUGAUCAGUAGCCGGUCUGAGAGGAUGAACGGCCACAUUGGGACUGAGACACGGCCCAGAAUCCUACGGGAGGCAGCAGUGGGGAAUCUUCCGCAAUGGACGAAAGUCUGGAGGAGCAACGCCGCGUGAGUGAUGACGGGUUUCGGGUUGUAAAGCUCUGUUAAUCGGGACGCGGUACCGGAAUAGAAAGCCACGGCUAACUACGUGCCAGCAGCCGCGGUAAUUC